GCCGCGUGUCAAAAAAUGCUGACAUCGGGGCCGCACGGGAGGCCACGUGGGCAAUUUGCAUGCCCAGCAAUUCGAUGGCCUAAGUUCACUCCCGCACGCGUGAACAGCUUAUAUUCGUUUUCUCCUUAAGUGCGAUCAGACAGACGAGAUCAAUCACAAUGAACGGUUUAGAUUAGUUCCCUUCUUAGGCGCGAUUAAACGGACGAGAUCAAUCGCGAUGAACGAUCUAGAUCGAUGUGGGAUAGGUAUAAAUACCUUGCGUUGCAGGGGAACCCAAACCUUAGCCGCUAGCCCCCGCCGGAGAAGAAGAACCAGGUGCUGGAGAAGAAGGCCGACCACCGACUGCCAA
rnacentral:lncRNA from 1 species